rfam:Myotis lucifugus cont2.64651, whole genome shotgun sequence.
GGCCGGUUGGCUCAGUGGAUGGAACGUUGGCCUGAGGACCGAAGGGUCCCGGGUUCGAUUCCCGGUCAGGCCA